rnacentral:rRNA from 1 species
GUGGCAGACGGGUGACUAACACGUGRGAACCUUCCCUUUGGUUCGSAAUAGCCYAGGGAAACUUGGGGUAAUACCGGAUAARCCCUUACGGRGAAAGAUUUAUCGCCKAAGGAUGGGCCCGCGUCGGAUUACCUAGUUGGUGSGGUAACGGCCUACCAAGGCGACCAUCCGUAGCUGGUCUGAGUAGGAUGAUCAGCCACACUGGGACUGAGACACGGCCCAGUACUCCUACGGGGAGGCAGCAGUGGGGAAUAUUGGACAAUGGGCGCAAGCCUGAUCCAGCCAUGCCGCGUGAGUGACGAAGGCCUUASGGUUGUAAAGCUCUUUUGGCGGGGAAGAUAAUGACGGUMCCCGCAGAAUAAGCUCCGGCUAACUUCGUGCCAGCACCCGCGRUAAUACSAASGGAGCUAGCGUUGUUCASAAUCACUGGGCGUAAAGCGCACGUAKGCGSACUUGUCAGUCAKGGGUGAAAUCCCGGGGCUCAACCU